CGGGAGGGACCGCGUGGUGCGGCCGGGCGGGGAGUGCGGGGCGGCGGCACCGACCUGCCCUGCCCCGUGUCACCGCACCGGGACCCGCCUGCCCCGUGUCACUGCACCGGGACGGGAUGGACGGAGCGGGGCCGGGGCCGGGGCCGGAGGAAGGCGAGGAGCGGGAGCCCGGGGCCGUCAGCGAGAGGAGUUUCCUGGAGAGCUUCACCGAGAGCCGGGAGGUCGCCGAGCUCAUCGCGAACCUCAGGGGCGUCUUCGGGGAGCUGGUGACCCGGGAGAUGGCCGUGGAGCGGUUCGUGGGUAUAAUGGACAAGUACCAGGAGCAGCCUCACCUUUUGGACCACCACUUAGAGGGGAUGAUGAAUUCCUUGUUGGAUAUAGCACGGGACAAAGGCUCUCCUCCCCCUCUAGUUCACCUGGCUUUUAAAUUUCUUUACAUCAUCACAAAGGUGAGGGGGUACAAACGUUUCCUCCCCCUGUUUCCUCACGAAGUCCGGGACCUGCAGCCUGUUCUGGACAUGCUCGCGGAGCAGAACCCCAGGGAUUCCGAGACCUGGGAGACUCGUUACAUGCUCUUGCUGUGGCUGUCCAUGAUCUGCCUGAUUCCUUUUGAUCUGGCCCGUUUUGAUGGAAACCUUGUUUCAGAGGGAGGGAAGGCUCGGCAGCCGACCAUGGAUCGCAUCCUGGAAGUAGCUAAAUGUUACCUGGUUGUCAGUGACAAGGCUCGGGAUGCAGCUGCUGUGCUGGUGUCCAAGUUUAUUGUUCGCCCUGAUGUCAGGCAAAGCAGGAUGGCAGAAUUCCUGGACUGGGUGCUCUCCAUGUUAUCCAGAUCCUCCUCCCAGACCAUGGAGGGGACUGUCAUUGUGAAUGGCAUGCUCCAGGCCCUGGCACAGCUGUUUAAACAUGGCAAGAGAGAGGAUUGCUUGCCAUAUGCUGUUACUGUGCUCGAGUGUCUGGACAAGUGCAAGUUGUCAGAGAGCAACCAGAUGGUCCUGCGCAAGCUGGGCAUGAAACUGGUUCAGAGGCUGGGACUGACAUUUGUGAAGCCAAAGGUGGCGAAAUGGAGGUACCAGCGUGGCUGUCGCUCUCUGGCUGCCAACCUGCAAGCUCAGGGUGCUGUUGUGCAGAACCAAAAGAGAGAAGCUGCUGCUGAAGCUGAUGAUGAUGAGGAAUAUGACAUCCCAGCGGAGAUUGAAAACGUUGUAGAGCAACUGUUGGUUGGGCUGAAGGACAAAGACACCAUCGUCAGGUGGUCUGCAGCCAAAGGAAUUGGUAGAAUAACUGGAAGACUUCCAAAAGAAUUAGCAGAUGACGUGAUCGGGUCUCUGUUGGACUGUUUCAGUUUCCAGGAGACGGACAACGCGUGGCACGGGGGGUGCCUGGCCCUGGCCGAGCUGGGCAGGAGAGGAUUGCUGCUCCCUUCCCGAAUUUCAGAUGUCGUUCCUGUCAUGCUGAAGGCUCUGACCUACGAUGAGAAGAGGGGGGCCUGCAGCGUGGGCUCCAACGUCAGGGACGCCGCCUGUUACGUGUGCUGGGCCUUCGCCCGCGCCUACGAACCCACAGAGCUGAUACCCUUCAUCAGCCACAUCUCCAGUGCAUUGGUUAUUGCUGCAGUAUUUGAUCGUGACGUUAAUUGCAGAAGAGCUGCUUCUGCUGCCUUCCAGGAGAAUGUUGGGAGACAGGGCACUUUUCCCCAUGGCAUCGACAUUCUCACUGCAGCUGAUUAUUUUGCUGUUGGGAACAGAGUUAACUGUUACCUCACUAUAAGUGUGUAUAUUGCUGGCUUUCCUGAGUAUACACAGCCAAUGAUUGAUCAUUUAGUUAAUAUGAAGAUUAACCACUGGGACAGUGUUAUUCGAGAACUUUCCACCAAAGCCCUGCACAACAUCACUCCCCGGGCCCCCAAGUACAUGGCGAAUGUGGUUUUGCCAAGACUUCUGCCUUUAUCAGUGGGCUCAGAUCUGCACACACGCCAUGGGGCAAUCCUUGCCUGUGCUGAGAUCACCCAUGCUCUGUGUAAACUGGCACAAGAGAAUAAUAGAUCUGUAACGUACUAUUUCAGUGAAAAAUCAUUGGAGGGACUUAAACAAAUCCACCAAGAGCUUUGCAGUCGUCAGUUGUACAGGGGUUUAGGUGGAGAACUGAUGAGACCGGCUGUCUGCACUUUGAUUGAAAAGCUGUCACUAUCAAAAAUGCCAUUUAGAGGAGAUCCCAUAAUUGGUGGUUGGCAGUGGUUAAUAAAUGACAGUCUAAGACAUCUCACUCUUGUUUCCAGUGGUGCACGACAGCACAUAAAGGAGUCUGCAGUGUCUGCACUGGCUGCCCUGUGCAAUGAAUUUUACAUCAAUGAGGAGGGAGAAGCUGAUCCAGCUCUGCAGGAUGAGCUGGUGACACAGUACGUUUCAGAGCUACAAAACACAGAGGAAAUGAUCCGGUGUGGCUUUUCACGAGCUCUUGGGGCCCUUCCAAGGUUUCUGCUGAAGGGCAGGCUCCAACAGGUUUUGGAAGGUUUGAAAAAAGUUACCUUAAUUUCCCCUGAAGAUGUGAGCUUUGCAGAAUCCAGGAGAGAUGCCUUAAUAGCAAUUGCAAAGGUUUGCCAGACAGUGGGUGUGAAGGGAGAAGGAUCCCGGGAGGAAUUUGUGUGCAGGGAUAACGUGGAUGAGAUUUACUCGACGCUGCUCAACGGGGUGACCGACUACACCACGGACAGCCGGGGGGAUGUGGGAGGAUGGGUGCGUGAAGCUGCCAUGACCAGUUUGAUGGAGGUGACGCUGCUGCUGGUCCAGAACGAGGCAGAGUUAAUUAAUGCCAGCAUCUGCAGGCAGAUUAUGUGCUGGCUGGCUCAACAGUCAGCUGAAAAAAUAGAUAAAUUCCGAGCUCAUGCAGGAUCUGUGUUCCUGACCCUCCUACACUUUGACCACCCUCCAGUUCCACACAUCCCUCACAGACAAGAGCUAGAGAGGAUAUUUCCAAGGUCAGAGAAGGAGACUCUGAACUGGAAUGCUGCAUCUGAAGCUUUUCCCCGGAUCACCCAGCUCCUGGCAUUGCCAACCUACCAGUACUUUGUGCUCCUGGGGCUCUCAGUGUCCGUGGGGGGACUCACAGAGACCACGCUCAGAUACUCUGCCCAGAGCCUGUUCGACUACAUGAAGAAAAUCCAGGGUGAUCCCAGUGCUCUGGAGAGUUUCUGUGAGACGUUGCUAAAGGUCUUUGAGGACAACCUGCGGAAUGACCGGGUGUCUGUGCCUGCUCUGAGCUUCCCUGAGCUCCAGCCAUUUGUCAUCCCCAAACCCAAGAGGAAAAAAUCACAAUUUUCAGGGCAUAAAGAGUAGAAAAGGUUUCACCACUGGCUGGUUUGCUUGUAGCAAACGGAUCAAUAGCAAUUGUUAUUUAACUAAAUAAAACCAAGCCAGACUCCAGCUUGCUGGAUCUCCAGGGGUGUAUUUUGUGGCUGAAAAGGUGCCUUUCCUCCUCGGAAAUGGCACUAAAUGUUUUCUAUCUUGUGUGGGUAUUAGGGGAGAGAAACAGGAAAUUUUCUUCUUUCUGGUUUGACCUGGCUUGUGAUGAAUGACACCCUGAGUGCUGGUUAUCAGCCCCUGAGCCCCUGCCCCUCUUCUCAAGGCUGGUGCAGUGUCACUGUAGUCGCUCGUCCAUGAGCAGAUUUGAUUCUGAGGAGUGAUGUUUCAUAGAGGAUUUGCUUUAGAGAAAGAACAGCUGAUGGUUCAUCACAUUCCCUGUUGAAAUUUGUGGAGAGGAGGGAGGUAUUGAGCAGGUCUUUCUGUAGAAAUCAUCUUGUGAAACUGAAAUUUUCCAGUUUGGUAUUUUUUGGUAGAGUUUUUUGAUUUCUCUGAGAUUUUCUAAUGGAGCUUUGGUCCACGGACUGGCUUUUUUUCCCCCACUGUAGGACUACUUUUCUUGAUCAAAAAACCUGAUUUUUCUUUGGGCUGCUCCUUCUCAAAGUGCUGCCCAGACAGAGCAGGGCCUUCUCCUCAAGCUGUGCAACGGCUUCCUGAUGGAAAAUGAUGUCCUCCAGUAGUGAGAAGGGCCUGCACAUUCAUCAUACAACUGCUCCCAUGGAGCAUGAGAGGAGGCUGUUUUACCACCAGGUGAGAUCUCUCUGUCAUUGACUAACAUGGUUCUUUUGGUGGGUCUGGAGACCUUCCCAUUGUGAUGGAGCUUCCAACCUCCACCUCCCUGGACAGCAGGACAGCUAUGGCUCAGCUGUGGCCCUGGGCACUGCCUCUGUGUCCUGCCCAUCCCAGCUGUGCUGUGCUGGAGGAGGUGAGCAGGGAGCUGAGCACUCCCCAGUGAUGGACACUUCGUGUUCCUUCUCCCUCUUGUCUCCUGUGGAGCAGCACGGGAGCAAAGAGCUGGAGGGGACAGAGUGGUUGUGCUGAGCUAAUGACAAUCUCUGGCACAUGAGCUCUGAGGAUUCCCCCUGCUUUGUGCUCUGCCCCCAGAAUGAGUAAAUAAAAGCCUCCUCACUUAUUUAUGAUGCAAAUAGCAACUGUGUGUUCAGCUCUAGGAUUUGUUGAUUAUUUAUUUAGAGCCUCUUGUCUCAGGGGCACUGGCUGUUUGCGUGCAGGAGGCAUCUGUCUGGCCUUAUUACCCACAAAUAGACAUCUUGCUUCUCAGGCUCUGGCUGCUGAUGUUUUGGUAAGUCUGCUGUGAAAACAUAAAUCCUUCCAGGGAGACACAGAUCCCCUGGUCCUUCCUCUUCAGAGUGAGUAGGAGCAGCUUUUUUGAAAUUCCCACUCUGUCCCACUCCCAUGGAGCAGGUGAACACUGAGCUCCUCUGGGCAUGAAGGUUUCUGCUGGGGUAGCACCCAAGAGGAAAGGCUAAAAUCCAGUUGCUGUAGGUCCUCAGCCUCAAAAAGCUAAAGGGAGGGCGGGUGGGAGGUGGAUAUGGGCAGGCAUGAAAACAAGGAGACAGUAUUUGGCCUAAAAUACUAGUGAGGGCUGCUUGGGAUGCCCUUCUUCUCCCCCCAUAAUGGGAGGCUGUGUGCCAGAGGUGCUGGAUUUGUCUUGUUCUAUAAUCAAACACAAAGAGGAGCUCUGUGAGGUUCCAGGAGAGCUGGGAGUGAAUCACUGCUGCCUUGUGAAUGUUAUCCCAAGGUGCCUUUAAAUCCUCCUGGUUCUCCUCAGGUUGGUGGCUGAUUAAGUUCUGGCAUUUGGCUUUAGGAAGAUAAUGACACUCAUUUGAUCCACCUCAGGUCACCCCCUUGGCUUUGAGAGCUGAUGGAGCACAAGCAUUCCUGCAGACAGCUGGAAUCCCUGCAUCCCACUGGUGAUCCAUGGCAUGGGGCAGCUCCAGAGCUUGACUGAGAAAAGGUUGCUGUUAAGCAAGAUAGAUUUUGCUUGGCUCCUUCACUCAUGGCAGGAUUUCCAGGGUUUUCCAGGACUUCAGCUAUUCUCAUGGGUUUUCUCUGAAUCCUCCUUCAGCUUCUCAGCCCACAUCUCAAGCUGACUCGACAUGGAAACACAGCGCAGGGCCCUGGCAGGAGAGGUUCCCCUGCCUCCAAAUCCCAGCCAGCUCCAUCCACAGCCUCCUCUGGCUCUUUGGACACUGAACUUUUCAGCCUGAACCCUCUACAGCGAGUGCUGGACCCCUCAGCUGCGGGACACUUGCUCAGCUCUUGCCUGGUGGCAUGGAGAGGGGGUCAGAAGGACCAGGACCUUGCUGUGCUGGAUGUGAGUUGAUGUGGGUGAUACAAGGAGUUCUGCAGCACCUACCCUGAGUGCAAGGAUGCCAAGUGCAUGAACCUUCAAACAAGACCUUAUGCAUUGAGAGCCUCCUGCCAAAAGGUAGCAGGGAAUCUGAUGUAAAACCAAAAUUUUUCUCCAUUUACCCUGGAAUACAAUAUCCUCCCGAGCUGGCUCCCAUAUUGCCUCACAGAGAUCAGCUGUCCACCAGUCUACCAAUACCUCCCAAACUUGGCUGCAUUUCAGUGCUUGUGGGAUGUUGUAUAAAAAGAACAGGAGGAUGAUUGAGAGGCUCUGUUUCCAAUUGACCUUGGUGCAAAGUGCCUAAAUCUGAGCCCGAGGAUGAAGCUACACCCUGUGUGUGUGGAUGGUUGCAGGAGUUCUUGGUGUCAUGUCUGGUUGGACGUGGGUGUGGUGGUGCUGGAAAGGAAGGAGAGCUUGGAAAAGGAGUUUCCAACAGGGAGCAGCCAAGGGAAACUGGUAGUUUGUAUGCCAAUAAAUUGGAACUGAGAUUACACAGGCAGAGAGUAA